CUUAAACAUGCUGAUUGGCCUCAGCAAUAGCCUUUAAACAUGCACAACCCACCUCUUCAGCCGUACACGCUGAGAGAAUGGAGACCAUCAAUGAUUCCAACAGGUGCUGCAGAUUGCCAGAAUACUAAGGGUCUUCACCAACGCAUUGAUGGCCAAAUUUAAAAUGAAGCGGAAGGAGGAACAAGGCAAGAUAUCUUUGGAGAAAAAACAAAAGUUUACAGAACAAUAAAAGUUAAGCUGAUGUCCUCACAAGUAUUGGUAAAGCAAACAAAGAGUUUUCAUAAAGUGGACAUUAUAUUGAGACAAUUGUAAAAAUGAAAAAAUCCAAAGCCAAUAGUCAGUUAAACAUUUGCAAAGAUGGGUUUUGUAGUAAUCCAGUCUCACUAGGGGAGGCCACAGCAACCACAUUUUUUUCCCAGUAAAGUUGGUUGUAUUUUCAAAACACAGGCUAUGUAAUUUUAUAUAUUUUUUUGCGUUUACCACCAGUGUUAAUCUACCUGUUCAGCUGUGAAUCAAGUAAGAAAAAUAAGGAUGAAAAGCCAUGUUUAUUUUUUUAUUUGAUGUGAGGUACAGACCCAAGCAAGGUAAACUGUAAAUCAUAUGGUCUGUAAUAUCAUCCAGCCUGAGUAUGUGAUUCUUGAUUCCACAUCCCGGGAGGUUCAAUUGAAAGAUAAAUGUCAUUUGGGAACCACGUACUGGAAAAAAGCAAAUAAACGUCCUUGCGCCAACUUAAAUAUUAAUUAAAAUAUUUUUUUUGAUGAAUUAAAACCAUGCUGUUUCUCUUUAACUGCUACCAGACUACAACAUUAAUUCCAGUCACAGCAAUCUUUGUCUGAAUACAUGGUUUGAUCUCCAAGAUGGAUCCAAAAGUUCUCAUCCAAACAGUUUUUUUUUGUUUGUUUCUUAUUUUGUCAAAGCAGAUUGCAAAAUAAAAUUGGGUCUAUGGAGGAAAAGCAUGACCCCUGCCAAAACGCAAAAGGAGGUGUUGAUCUGAUGGCGAUGUUGAAAUACACAGCUCAUAAAAAAGAAACUUUUUUGAUUUGAUAUGGAAGAGGUUGUGGUAUAAAAUGUUAUUGUUCAGAUGUUAGAUGUCAUACAGUGAGACACUGCAGUCACCUCCCAGUUUGUCAAAGAGAAAACUGCUGUUUUGUUGUAUCUCCUUCCAGAAAGACACAGCCCAGUGUGUUAAAACUCCCAGCAUAAUGUCAUAAAUCUAUGGGUGGAUUUAAACAAGCAUUCUUGCAUAAACACUCAAAAGAUAUCUGAGGUCAUCAACUAUGUGUUCAUCAAGGGAAAAUUGAAGACAGUCAACUUUACUCUCAAUCCCACAGUCCUGGUACAGAACAUAUUGUAGACAAAUAAAAACAGAAGAUGUGGAUUGAGUAUGGAUACUGAAUGAAAUCCACCCAUUAAUGUCCAUUCUCAAACAUAUCUGUCUCUCUGGUCAACGUGUGAACUCAACGGAAAGGUGUCUCCAUUCUCACUUAUGCCAGUUUGGUUCUCCUAUCUGAAUUGCAUGAAUCACAGCCAAUUAUUGUGACGUAUUAUAGGACCCUGUCAGUAAGAAUGAGAUGCCAAAUCCUUUUUCUCUCCGUAGCUGAAAGGAGGAGAACCCAUUAUUUUGCUGUUCCUUUUCUCAAACUUUCCUCCAAACUCUGCGUCAGCACAUCUGCUUUUAUGUUGUUGUGUUUUAGAGCUUCCUUUGUGGUUUGGUUUUGAUGUAAAAUCCAUGUUGCUGUCUUUAGAGGAUCAUUAUGGUUGUAAAAUGUUAUGCUUUCUGGAAUUUCUUGUAUUGUAUUGUGAAAUCAACCGAUUUUUCCAGAUAAAAACCUCAAAAGUGUGGAGUCCAUUUGUAUUUAGCCCUCUGCGGAGACCCCUUAAAUAAAAUCCAGUGCAAAGAAAUCAGUUCAAGAGGUCAUUUAAUUAGCAAAUAAAGCUCACUGGGGCAUAAUUCAAUCUCAGUGCCAAAUACAGGUGUGCAAAAUGAUAAAGACAACCAGUAAACUGUUAACUGUAGCAACUGAGAACACUACUUAAUUAUAUGUAUACAAAAGAAUCAUCAGUUUUUUAGAUAAAUUAUAUUAUUUUCUUAUCAGUCAAAUCAAUUACAAUUCAACCUUAAGGAUAAAUAAUUUCACUUUAUCAGUGAGCUCUAAAUGCAGACUUUACCAAAAGGAUGAGAUAAACAUGUAAUAAGAAUAUAUUUAACAAGGGACAGACCAGGCAGGUCAGGGAUAAAGCUGUGGAGAGGUUUAAAGCAGGGUUAGGUUACAAAACAAUAUACAUGCUUUGGACAUUUCACAGGAGCAUUGUUUAUUCCUUCUUCCAAAAGUGGAAAGAGUGCAAACCUACAAACAUAUGGGUGUUUACCUAAACUGAGAGGUCGCUCAGGGAGAGUAUUAUUAUCAGAAACGCAGCCAAGAGAUCUAUGGUAACUCUGGAGGAGCUGUAGAGGUCCACAACUCAUGUAGUGGAAUUAUUUCAUAAGAGUUAUUAGUAAGAAUUUGGGAAUUUCCACCUUAGGCAGACCUCGCUGUGUGCAGUGAGAAGCAGUUCACUGCGGAAGACCCCUCCCCGGCUAACCGUGGCUGAGCUGGGCCGUUAAGUAAUGAUUUAUGAUUCUCUUUCUUUUCCAUGUCAAAUCUAUCAGUUGGUUAAAAGAUGUACCUGUCAGAGGAAGUUUGGACAGCUUAAGUUAACAUGUUGAAUUCUUUGAAUAUUUGUAUAAUCAAAAGAUGAUAGAAAUGUUGUAAUUCAGACACGUGUCAAAAAGACGUCACAGCGUACAGGUUAUUGAUGUGUAUAAAAAUUGUUCUGAAGAAUUGUUCUUUUUUUAUCUUUUUAACCGAAGAAUGAUAAAUGUUAACAGAAUUUCAGCAAAACUAUUCCUGUUAUCUGCCAGGAUUGCAACAGCAUAAAUCUGUGAGAAUUUCACUGACUGACGUUGUAUCAGAGUAUAGAUACAUCUGUGUAUAAUGAACUACAGACUUAUAUCUGGCAAGUGACUUCUUUACAUAAAUAAGAUUUGUGCACCAGA